GUUGACGGGAGGGAAAAGCAGCAACAUGGAUUCGGUCACUUCAGCUGCAAAACCCCUUUCUCUCACAACUCCCGUGCCGACUUUCCGAGCGCUGUGCACCAUGCCCGGAAGAGGCAAUACAGAAGGCCAAGGCGGAGGCUAACACUCACGACUGCGUUCUCAGCGGGUUAUCGGAGGUGACUGCAGCUGUGCGGGUGCCGCGUGUUCCAUGGCUGCUUUGCGUCCCUGGACCCCG